rnacentral:ncRNA from 1 species
UUAAUUUGACUCAACAAAAGAAAACUUACUAGGUCCAGACAUAGUAAGGAUUGAUAAAUUGAGAGCUCUUUCUUGAUUCUAUGGGUGGUGGUGCAUGGUCAUUUUUGUUACGGCUCUUCAUGCAUUUUGUUACGACUGUUCGUGCGUUUUAUUGUGUCCCUUCAUGCAUUUGGGCA